GGGCCCGUAGCUCAGGCUGGUUAGAGCACCGGACUUUUAAUCCGGGUGUCGCGGGUUCGAAUCCCGUCGGGCCCG
rnacentral:tRNA from 1 species